UAUCGGUCCCUUCGCAACGAUAAGCUACGAACCCCGCCAGGCCCGGAAGGGAGCAACGGUAGUAGUGGAUUCGUGUGCCGAGGUGUGGCUGGUAGGG
rnacentral:SRP_RNA from 2 species